CUCUACCCUUUCGCCUCCUCCUACCAGAACAUUCUCUCCUCUCAUGGUUUCUCUGCAACCUAAAACUAUGAGACGGACAGGCUUUCAUGUUCUCCCAAGAACUAGACAAGGGUUGUGAUCCUUUUUCCAUGAGAGGUGAAAAAAACAAGGCAGAUAAAACCCCAAUUCUUAGAAAUCUGCGAAAACUCUGAGGCUGCCAAUGGCAGUGUUGUUCAUAUCCAUGGGGUUUGUCACCUAGAACAAAACAUAGACCCCAGAAAGCUUAAACGGCCAGAUGUUUUCUCUCUUCUUUUCUUUAACCUACCUAUAUACUUCCUUUUCUUUUCCAUAUCACAGAGAUGUUGUGUAGGUCAUUUCAAAUCGUUUCUCUGCUCAGAAAUCAAUAGUCAGGAGGCAUCAACAUUUGGAAAACAAGGUGAAGGAGUAUUUAAAUUCAAUUUUAACAGACGACAGACGAAAUGUAAAUAGAUCAAAAGUUUAAAAUUAUUUAAUUGAUGCGGCCAAGAAGUGCGUCAUCGUAUUCUUCAUCCAAUCUAAGGUAAUAAGGCAUAUCACAAAAUUUAUGGGACAAAGAACAGGUGGAAAUCAUAUGCCAUCAACUUUUUUGGAAAAUAUGGUUUUGCUUCUUUGAAAAUUGAUAUGGAGAUCUGAAUUAAUCAAUAUUGGUAUGUCGUGCAUGACAUAGCCAUGUCCACUUCUUCACCUACCAUAAGAAGUUAUGGAGUUAGAAAUGGGUGGAUUCCUACACAAGGCAUCAACAAUUCAUAAGCAAACUCCGAGAAGCAAGGUUUUUAUAUUAAUUUGAAUUGGACCGGUUAGGAUGUUUAUCACAGAAUGAAGACACAUUGGUUAAGGAAACCAAAUUAUAUCUCCCAUGUUUCAUAUGAACAAGCUUUAGCCUAGAAAGUCCUUGAGUCCACUGGCAUUGCUUGGCCUUCUCAUAAAGAAUACUUUGACAAGAAUUUCUUCACUUUCUCUUUCGGUGAUUCUUUUCUUUUGUGAACAAAAAAAUUUUCUUCCCUGCUUCGGGGGCUGUGUUUAUUUUUGUCGUUUUAGCCUGGUAAACUUAAAAACUAGAGUUAGCCUGAGUAAUUUAUCUUUUACUUUUUUGUAGUUGCUUGUUUAUGUGUCAAUUAAAAAACAAAAAAGAAUACACAUGUGAUUGAAGAGAACUAUACAUAUAA